AUCAGGGUUGACAGUUUAACCUUGAGUCAUCCUAAACACAGGGGUCAAAAGGAUGAAUUAUACAGUAACCAUAUUCAUGUAAGUUCUAAGUGUUACGAUUGUGACUCUUCGACCUAUCCGAACAUCGGGUACCAUUGCUAGAUGGUCACUUCGAUUAGUACAGAAAUUGGUUCCUGUGCUACCGGCUUAGGUUCGAACCUGCGGGAUCACAUACAUUAGAGGUUCCUAUCUGAUCUGAUGGCUGAUGUAGAAUCCUACAUGUUUGAGACUCAGUGAUCGAGAAUCAAGAUUCUCUGAUCAUGAGUUUCACACAUUAUGGGUACCGGGGUCAAGAGUCCCAUUGGUUGGGAUUUUUCGAUCAGGGUUACAUAUCGAUGAAUUCUGAUGCCUGAUUGCCC
rnacentral:lncRNA from 1 species